GACGAACGCUGGCGGCGUGCGUAACACAUGCAAGUCGAGCGGUAAGGCCCUUUCGGGGGUACACGAGCGGCGAACGGGUGAGUAACACGUGGGUGACCUGCCCUCAGCUCUGGGAUAAGCCUGGGAAACCGGGUCUAAUACCGGAUAUGACUCCAUGACGCAUGUUGUGGGGUGGAAAGCCUUGUGCGGCUGAGGAUGGGCCCGCGGCCUAUCAGCUUGUUGGUGGGGUGAUGGCCUACCAAGGCGACGACGGGUAGCCGGCCUGAGAGGGCGACCGGCCACACUGGGACUGAGACACGGCCCAGACUCCUACGGGAGGCAGCAGUGGGGAAUCUUGCGC
rnacentral:rRNA from 1 species